AUGGAGAAUGCAUUGCUGAAGCUUUGGUCAAUGGUUGAAGAGAGCAAGUCUGCUAGGGUGGAUGAUAAUCUUCAAAGUUCUUUAACUAUUCACCAUUUGACAGAAAAAAAUAAAAAGCUGGAUGCACAAUAUGACAAGUUAGUAAAAGAUGUGCAUCAACUUGUGGACUUUCAGCAGGAUAGGGUUGUGGAUUUCAGUUAUUUGCAGUCAGCUGUCACAUAUCAGCACCAAUGCAGAGCUGAAUUGGUGGCUGGUAUGAAUGCAAAAAUGGCAAAGAAAGAUGCAGCUCUAGAGAAGCUUCAACAGAAGUUUGAAAUCCUGUGCAACCUGACAAGUGCUCAAGCAACUGCCAUCCAAAACCUCAAGUUGAAGAAUAUGAAAGAGAAGCAAUUGAGGAUUGAGGCUCAAGAGAAUUUGGAGCUGAAGAAUGCAGAGUUCACAAAGUUUGAGGAGAAGCUCACCCAAGAGAAGCUAGAGUUGAAGUUCCAGGUUGCUGAUCUGCUAAAGCUUAAGGAAAACCAUAAAGAAGAGAAGCAGAUGCAAGAGUUUAAGAUUACUGAGCUCAUGAAGGCAGAGAAGAAGCUGAAGGAGAAGAUCAAGGGGAUCCAGGCCAUCUUGGAGAACUGA
rnacentral:rRNA from 1 species